UUCGUUAGUCUAUAUCGUUUGCUCGAACUGAAAGGAGAUCUAAAAUUUAUACCAAAAUUUGUCUAGUACACAAUCUUUUUAAUCUAAAAUAUCAGUGAAUAUGUAUAAAUUUUUGUCACUAAUCUUUUUCACAAUUGUGUAUUUCGUAUUACUCGUAGUGCGCCUUUUCACGGGUUCGUCGGAGGAUCAGGAACCGACUGAGGACCGCGAACCGGUUGAGGAGAAGAAACCGGCGGCUCGGGAGGUGGUUCGUGUCCGUGAUCUACGCCUAUGGAACGAAUAUCUUCGGGCUAGGGGUGGCAGGGGGAGGUACAGAAGACGCGUGUGAAGAACCUACACACAUGCAGUUACUCCCGUCUACCAGGCAGAGCCACUCCACUGCAGUUAUCGUUCGCAGUAUCGAUCCAGUACUUUCAAAGCGAAAGUGCUACAAAUGUUAAAUGCGAAUGUACUAAACGCAAAGACGGCGAAUACCACCACGGCAUAAAUUGCUCAUUUAAUGGGUUUAAUGUGUACUAGUGAUCACUGAUCAGUGAUUACAUCACUUUGCUAUCCAAGGAGGCUGCUAAUCCUUCGCCAGGUCGGAGUGGGAGGUGAGGCCACCUUGAAGUCGUUCUUAAGGAGAUAUUGCCACAGAUGGAGUGACGUUUAUCUAAAUGCACAUUUGUAUGUUUUCAUGUGUAUAGCUUUUUAAUCGGACAGAGAAUACAAGAGAAUAAGUGCAGUAUA